ACAGUACAAACUGAGCAGGCGACGCCAUUCAGAAACAGAGUAUUUAUCUGAGGGCGUGGGGCCGGGCCGCAGGAAGCGGCAGCGGAUAUGGAUUUGAACGCAAAUUGUGAAACAAUUGCAUUCAUGAAUAUGUAGUGAAGCGGAAGAUGAGUAUCCGCUUUACUUUCAGACAUAUCUGCGGGACAGUG
rfam:Ruminococcus sp. CAG:17 genomic scaffold, scf75